GUGGUCUCAGGUGAGAGAAGAGAAAAAGCACAGAGCUUGCAGAAGGCAGAGAUCUGCAGCUUAUUCCCAAUGCAAGACGGAGCUGAUAAGCAAGCUGGCAGUAAUGACGUGGUGUAUCUUUCAGAGGAUCUUGAGGCCUGUGACUUUCCAUGUAGAGAAGAGAACCCUGGUUCUUGUCCACAUCUGAACCAGCAAAGCUGCUCUUAGCUGAUGGGCUCAGAAGAGAGCGGGACGAUUGCCUGAGAUCCAGUAGUCCCUUUUGCAAUAAAGCUAUGAUGAUGUCAUAAAGCACCUGGGACAGUCAUGCCUACUGCUCCACGGAAGGGAAGAUGGCGGAACAUAGAGGACGAAGACGAUUCUGGGUGCCUGGAGGGAGGAGGGACGGAGCAGAAAGAGCACUGCAUCAGAGGGAAUUGCCCAGAUGGCAGUGGAUCACGGCACACAUGGACUGUGCACCUGGUGGCCAAGCCUAGGCAAGAUGAUGGGUCUCUCAGGGAUGUGGCUCGGAAAGGUGAUAUCCAAGGACUAGAUGAACCCCAGCUCCCACAAUGCUGUAGACAAAAUGACGGAGCAAGAAAGAAAGAAGAAAACUGGAAUUGACUGGGUUUAAAUCUCUUCCACUGAAUAGGGGGAUGAGAGAACAUUUUAGUUGAGUUUAUAGAAAAAUCUAGCCAGUUAUGUGUCUUACAUUUCUAGUGACAUUUCUUCACUGCUGAGAGUAUAGAAUGAGUUCCACAGUGGCUUUUAUCCAUCACUGAAAAGAAGCUAGAGAAAAACGACUCUUUGCUUUGAGAAUAGUCCUGUCCCUGGAAGGGUCUGGAUAUAGAAUGAGAAACCAUGGUCUUGGGAAACACGCUGGGAAUCACAGACAGGUACUUUUAUUUUAAAUUGAUUCCUCGUCUCCAUUCUAUCCUGUUAUGG